rnacentral:tRNA from 1 species
GUUAAUGUGCUUAAUCCAAAACAAAGCACUGAAAAUCCUUGGAUGAUAUUUUUUCCCCCUUG